UACAGAGGAGCCAAGCGUUGUCCGGAUUGACUGGGCGUAAAGCGCACGCAGGCGGUUUGGCGCGUGGGGUGUGAAAUCUGGCCGCUUAACGGCCAGGCGCCAUCCCAUACGGCCGAACUGGAGUGGGGAAGAGGGUCGUGGAAUUCCCAGUGUAGCGGUGAAAUGCGUAGAUAUUGGGAGGAACACCAGUGGCGAAGGCGGCUCACUGGACCGGAACUGACGCUGAGGCGCGAAAGCGUGGGGAGCAAACAGG
rnacentral:rRNA from 1 species